CGUAGGCCGCUGUUUAAGCGUGUUGUGAAAAACCGGGGCUCAACUCCGGUCGUGCAGCGCGAACUGGACAGCUUGAGUGCGCGGUAAGUGGGCGGAAUUUGUGGUGUAGCGGUGAAAUGCUUAGAUAUCACGAAGAACUCCGAUUGCGAAGGCAGCUCACUGUAGCGCAACUGACGCUGAAGCUCGAAAGUGCGGGUAUCGAACAGGAUUAGAUACCCUGGUAGUCCGCACGGUAAACGAUGGAUGCCCGCUGUUCCGGCUUUUAGCUGGAGUGGCCAAGCGAAAGCGUUAAGCAUCCCACCUGGGGAGUACGCCGGCAACGGUGAAACUCAAAGGAAUUGACGGGGGCCCGCACAAGCGGAGGAACAUGUGGUUUAAUUCGAUGAUACGCGAGGAACCUUACCCGGGCUUGAACUGCAGGAGAACGAUUCAGAGAUGAUGAGGCCCUUCGGGGCUCCUGUGGAGGUGCUGCAUGGUUGUCGUCAGCUCGUGCCGUGAGGUGUCGGCUUAAGUGCCAUAACGAGCGCAACCCCUCUCUAUAUUUUGCCUACUCAGUUAAUGUUGGGCACUCUAGGUAUGACUGCCGCUGAUCAAACCGGAGGAAGGUGGGGAUGACGUCAAAUCAUCAUGCCCCUUAUGUCCUGGGCUACACACGUGUUACAAUGG
rnacentral:rRNA from 1 species